UCCCUGGUGGCUCAGACAGUAAAGAAUCUGCCUGCAAUGCAGGAGACCCAGGUUCGAUCCCUGGGUUGGGAA
rnacentral:tRNA from 1 species